rnacentral:rRNA from 1 species
CUAAGAAUAUUCCGCAAUGGACGAAAGUCUGACGGAGCGACGCCGCGUGGAUGAAGAAGGCCGAAAGGUUGUAAAAUCCUUUUGUUGGGGAAGAAUAAGCGUGGGAGGGAAUGCCCGCGUGAUGACAUGAACCGACGAAUAAGUCCCGGCUAACUACGUGCCAGCAGCCGCGGUAACACGUAGGGGACAAGCGUUAUUCGGAAUUACUGGGCGUAAAGGGCAUGUAGGCGGCUUUGUAAGCCUGGCGUGAAAGUCACCGGCUCAACCGGUGGAUUGCGUCAGGAACUGCAGAGCUUGAGUCAUGGAGAGGAAGGCAGAAUUCCUGGUGUAGGGGUGAAAUCUGUAGAGAUCAGGAAGAAUACCAGUGGCGAAGGCGGCCUUCUGGCCAAUGACUGACGCUGAGGUGCGAAAGUGUGGGGAUCAAACA